GACGGAGGAUGCAAGCGUUAUCCGGAAUGAUUGGGCGUAAAGCGUCUGCAGGUGGCAGUUCAAGUCUGCUGUCAAAGACCGGGGCUUAACUUCGGAAAGGCAGUGGAAACUGAACAGCUAGAGUAUGGUAGGGGCAGAGGGAAUUCCUGGUGGAGCGGUGAAAUGCGUAGAGAUCGGGAAGAACGCCAAGGGCGAAGGCACUCUGCUAGGCCUGAUUUCGCGACUGACACUCAGGGACGAGAGCCAGGGGAGCGAAUGGG
rnacentral:rRNA from 1 species